GAUGAACGCUGGCGGCGUGCCUAAUACAUGCAAGUCGAGCGAACGGACGAGGAGCUUGCUGCUCUGAUGUUAGCGGCGGACGGGUGAGUCACACGUGGAUCACCUACCUAUAAGACUGGUAUAACUACGGAAAACCGGAUCUAAUACCGGAUGAUAUUUUGAACCGCAGGGUGCGAAGGUGAAAGACGGUCUUGCUGUCACUUAUCGAUGGAUCCGCGCUGCAUUAGCUAGUUGGUAAGGUAACGGCUUACCAAGGCAACGAUGCAUAGCCGACCUGUGAGGGUGAUCGGCGGCCCUGGAACGUGGACAGCGUCAUGAGGCCUACGGUAGGCCGCAGUAGGCAAUCGGCCGCAGCGGUGGAGAGCAUUACGCAGCAAGGGGGAGCGAGUGACGAAGGUCUUCGGAGCGUAAUGCUCGGUUUUUAGUGAUGAACAGAUGUGGAAGGAACUGUGGCCAGCUUGACGGUAAUUAAUCAGAAAGCAACGGCUAACUACGUG
rnacentral:rRNA from 1 species